GAUAUCUCACAUUUGAAUUAAAUAUUUUUAUCUACAAUUUCAGUCAUCUUAAUCACUGUUAAUUUUUCUUGACUGUUCUUUGAAGUCAGAAUAUUUCAUGUAUGUAAGUCUUGCAUAUCUAUCCACUCUAACUGCAGUCAAGAUCAACUAUGCUGUGAUUGUCAUAAUUUUCAGGUCAUUGGAAAUUUGUGUGAGUUUGGUAUGCUUGACCACUUGAAACUGCAACCUUCAAUUACUUAUGCUGUAAUUGUCAUAAUUUAUAGGUUUUUUAACUUGAGCUUAGGACUAUCUUGAUGCCACUUUUUCUUAAUCAAAUUUAUGUGAUGUUUGUCAGAUCAAGGUACAUCAAGCAAGUUUUAGGUUUCAAUUAAUUCUUAUAUAAAGUCCUCCAAAAUUAAUUUUGGUCUGUUAUUUGUUUUCUUUCUCCUGCUUCCUUUUCUUAAAUUUUGGGACUAUACUUUCAUAUCAUAUUAUAACAAGACAAACAUGAUGUAUGCUGCGGUUUCGGUUCUCUCAUUGUUUAUGUCUGGCAGCAUUUGUCGAAGUCAGAAUAAUCCGAAAGCUUUGUUUGAUGAAGAACCUAAAGCUGGUUAUUGUGAAGAUGUGGACAUGACACUUGAUUGCGAAUGAAAUUUCUUUGCAGGGCUCAUGCCUGUUUCCUGCUUUCCUCUGUUUUUCUUUUUAAUUUUUCUCUUUGUCCCCUGAGCUAUUUGUCUUAUAACCCAGUGUCUUUCUCAUUUUUGCUAAACCAAGCAGCUGGUAUUUGCUUGUUAAAGUUAAUUAACCAAUUACAUGGUUAGGUUCAUUGCUUUCCCGGGCUAUACCUAGUGGUUCUAUAUCAGCUUGGUGCUCAAAAGAUGCAGGGCACUUCCAAUCAAUGGAGAAAUUGAAGCAAAAUUACAAAAGAGAUGUGAUGUUGAAGAAUUGUUGCUUAGAUAGUUUAUUUCUAAUACAUUGUAUAUUGGAGAAUAAAAUGAUACUGAUUAUGACUGGAAUGAUUUGGAUCAGAUCGAAUGACCUUGGUUUUGGAAAAUAUUAUAUUUUUGAA